ACAGGUGCUGCAUGGCUGUCGUCAGCUCGUGUCGUGAGAUGUUGGGUUAAGUCCCGCAACGAGCGCAACCCUUGUCAUUAGUUGCUACGCAAGAGCACUCUAAUGAGACUGCCGGUGACAAACCGGAGGAAGGUGGGGAUGACGUCAAAUCAUCAUGCCCCUUAUGACCUGGGCUACACACGUGCUACAAUGGGAAGUACAACGAGUUGCGAAGUCGCGAGGCUAAGCUAAUCUCUUAAAGCUUCUCUCAGUUCGGAUUGCAGGCUACAACUCGCCUGCAUGAAGCCGGAAUCGCUAGUAAUCGCGGAUCAGCACGCCGCGGUGAAUACGUUCCCGGGCCUUGUACACACCGCCCGUCACACCACGAGAGUUUGUAACACCCGAAGUCGGUGAGGUAACCUUUUUGGAGCCAGCCGCCUAAGGUGGGAUAGAUGAUUGGGGUGAAGUCGUA
rnacentral:rRNA from 1 species